UGACAUGUGUUAGUGGCGGUCUUGGCAGUCCUGGGGUAAUGGUUGGACUUGAUGAUUUUAAAGGUCUUUGCCAACCUGCUUGAUCUGUGAUUCUAAAUGUAGGAAAUGGUACACUCCCCCUCCCAGUUCUCUGCCAGCCUUUUAGUACUUUGUGCAGAUUUGUGGGGCCCUAUGGCUGCACCCUGACCCCCUGUUGGCCCCUUUACCCACAUUCCAACACAGUGUGUGUGGAGGUCUGCGAUUCUGUUUACUCUGUCACUCAAAUACAUUUCUUGCACUGGAGCUUGCCAAGUAAAUGUGGUGUGGGGUUGUUUGUUUUUUGGGUUUUUUUUUGUUUUCCUAGAUAGUGGUGGUGAAUUCUGCAGCAGAACAAUGCACAGUCCUGGCAGAAGAGGGCAGAGUUUUAUGCAGAUGAAGUAGUUACUUGGCAACCUGCCUUGUCCCUUUUCCACAUUUUUGAAAUUGGCAUUGGAUACAUUUUUCUAUAUGUAUUUUUGAAACUAGUCUUUUUUACAUUAUUACCACUGUCCCAACUUUUCUUUAAAAGAGCCGAAAACAGCAGGGUACAUUCUGUUAUCUAAGAAACUGAUUCAACAAAGGGAGCGGUUUGAGGCACUUACCUGCUGACAUCAGAAGCAUGGCUGUGCAGCGCUGUCCUGGUAUGCCUUUGUAAAAUGUUUUGCAAGAGCUUCAGCAGAAUCCCCAUAGGCUGCUUUAUAUUACUGGGGGAAGUAGGUGGAAAUCACCUGCUGUCAGCCUGCCAUUUGGUUUGCUGACUCGUCAGUAUGGAAUUUUACUCCUCACCAGCACAAUGUGUUUGACAACCUCUGUAAUUCCCCAUGCAAAAGGAGGUUUUAUCGUGCUUGCCUCUGUGGAACAAAGAGGCGCAGAGACAUGGAGGCUUUUGUACCUCCCCCCACUACUGGGAAUGUACUGGAUAAAACACAGACUGCUGAGUUUGGAUGGCUAAUGGCAAAACAAAAAUUGAUUUAGGGAGCCAUAGGUGAGGAUUGGUGCACGAUCUUUUGGACAACCUGUUGGGCUUGGGAAAGGACUUUCCUGUCUUUUCUGCAGGAGUAACAAGCCUUAUUGCCAAAUCCAGAGGAAGUCAACCAAGCUUAGACACCUAUUGUUUUAUUGAGAAACAAAGUGCUUUUGUGAAAAAUAAGAAGCUCUUAAGGGUCCUCUCCUCAUUUUUGAGCAAGUAGUGCUUAUGUAAGGUGUAUGCAAUAGAUACAGCAUAGUUAAAAUACCUCAGAUGAUCAGAAGCUAUUCAAUCAGAAGUAAAUUCAGCCAAGAAAUGAAAACUCAAGACUGGUCAAUGAAGGCAUAGUUCUAGAAAAGACUAACUUCUGAUUUGACAGCAGCUCAUCACCAUUAUGUUGCAUCUUUAACUCAUUUUAAAAGAAGUAGUGAACUUUUCUAAAGUCUCUUUGAAGGACUUGAUCAGGUAAGCUCCCAGUUCAUUGUUCGUCUCCUCAACAGCUGCAUCAUAACUGCCAAAGAGUGGAGUUGAAGCCUUCACAUCCUCCCUGUUUGCUUGGAGUAAAAUGAGGUUAAGCUCCUCUGCUACACUUUCGUAUUUUCGGCGAUCAUAUCUGCAGAGACUGGCAUCAUCAAUGGGCAACGCAUGAAGAGCUGUUCUUUACACUUUGACUAAAAGCAGGAUGACCAAAUUACCUGAGCAGUUUCCGUAUUCUUCCUGUGAGUAUAGAAAAGGAUAUACUCAGCUCAGUCAGCUGCGUCAUUUCACCCAUCUUUUCUCCAAUAUUGGUAAGUAUCCCUUCAUCUGCAUCUGUGAACCUCCGCACAUUAAAUGUUCGUGCUGGCAAGGUCAAGGACAUCAAUAGAGGGAAGUGAAUACUGUUGAAGAGUAUUUCCAGGUGUUCCAUUUCCAAGCGAACAUUGUGAACUAUUUCCAGUUUGCGCAACAAAGAGGGAUCAGUGAGCUUUAUGAUGUAGAAGAAUUUCUGCAAAGCCAGGUUGUCAGAUCUGAAUGCCACACAGCAGAUCUUCAGUGGACAGUAGCAUUUCUUCAGCAGGGCCUGCACUGCCAGCUCAUAGUUCCGCUCUGUAACAUACAAGUCAAUUAGCACGUCAAUACUUAUUUCAGAGGUACCUGGAUUGCACUGUGUUUGUUGCAGGUAAACCAGCAGUUCCAAACAAAGCUUAGAGAGCAGCUGUGUCCUGGUCCACCUUCCCAUUCUCUUCUUGCACUCACAAAACUGAACUUCAACAUCUUUUAUGCCCGUGAGGUCCACCACUUUCAACUUUUUCGUGUAGGGAGAAGAAUGAUUCAGCACGUAGUCUCUCAGGCCUGUCAGACAGCUCUCCAAGCACACUGAGCAUGUUCUAUGGCUCAGAUCUUCCUGGUAGUCCACAGUAGUUCCCAAAAGUUUUCCAAUGUUAAAGUCAACAAGUGGCCAGUUCUUUACCAAGUCAUGAAUAACUUCCCCUUGCUCCAGUAAAUAGCUGGCUUUAAAAAGAAGAGGAAAAAGAUUAUGGGCUACACCACCAAGACUCUUCCUGGCAAACUCUGCAUUUGACACGAAUGCUUCAGCACUAAUGAAUCGGAGAGACUUCAUUGUUCCUCUGGGCUCCUUGCUGUCAUGGAGAGUGACUUUGCAUUUAACUAAAGAUUCUAGUUGCUUAUCACCUUCUAUUUUUAUCUGCAGCUGCUGUUUGCUGCUAACGGAAGCCUUGCUGGGAAGGCAGAAUGAACAGUCACAUGCUGAUCCUCAGCUUUCUAUUUUGGAGCUACACUGUGAUUCUGCAGUAAUUAACUGUGAGAUCUUUAGUCAGAGAGCAUUUAUUUCAUUUCAAACCUCACAUAUAGCAAAGCUAACUCAGCUAAGUACGGAACACCGCUAGCAGGAACAGUAAGAUGAAGGCAGCACAUAUACAUGAGAGUAUUUCUUUCUCUUUUCUAUGCCAUACAGAAAGACAUGGUUCCAACUUAAACACAACACAAUCUGUAUUCCACAGAUUCACAUGGUGAUUUUUCUAUUGGAUAGAUUUCUAGGGAUAGGUUAUAACUAAAUUUAGAAACAAGUCAAAACAGUCUGUCUUAAUUCAAUGCCUUUCCUUAAGGCGGAUAUGCCAAGGUAUAAUAAAGUAUCUCAUAAAACACUAAAAUUAUCUGAAUAAAAUAAUUGCUAUAACAUGAGUGGUAAUUAUUUUAUUUUUACUCAAACCCUGGCAAAGAUCAUAAAAUGCUGAUUUACUGAAGCAGGCAGCAGAAAUAUUUACGGGGCUAGUCUUACUCCUCUGAUGUUUUUGCUUAAGGGUUCCAUUUUGCAUUGCAUAGGCAACUAUCUAAAUGAAAGUAGUACAUCAGUUAGCAUCUGCUACUAGGAGGUAACACCCCUGGAUUAACUCCAGAAUGCUGCUGUCUGCUUGCAGAAGGUCUAAGUAUCUACAUGCAGGAGGAAUUAAGACAAAACAAUGGUUAAGAUAAAAUGUCUGAUAACAAUAUUACAGAUGAUUCCAAGGUCAUUUUGUUGAUAAAUAAACUGUGAUGAAACUUGA